rnacentral:misc_RNA from 1 species
AAAAGUUACUGAAGGGAUCAACUGAGCUCAGAGCAUCACCUUUAAGCAUUUAGAGUUGAUAUGCUUUCUAUCUAAUACCUUAAAUCAUUCCAGCUUGUAAACUUACUAAAACAAAGUAAUGAGAAAAUCACCUCAUCGAAAAAAAAUACAAGUAGAUCGAAAAAUGGAGAACUAGUCAGCAAAGGUAACGUUUAACAAAGACAGCGAUGGAGCAACGCUCUAACUCGAGCCUUUUUCUUUGGUUUCAUUUGCAAUAGCAUCAGUUACUAAAGCCAUUGGUCUUUCAUCUAUAACCUCGUCGAUUAUUCCAAACUCCUUAGCCUCUUCUGGUGUCAUGAAAUAAUCCCUAUCCAUAUUCUUCUGAAUUAUGUCAAGUGGUUGUCCAGUAUGUUUUGCAUACAAGUCAUUCAGAGUAUCCCAAACCCGAACAAUCUGUUUUGUGUGGAUAGUUAAAUCCUUAGCCUGCCCGCUAUAUCCACCUGAAGGCUGAUGAAUCAUGAUUGAAGCAUUAGGGAGAGAUCGUCUCUCACCCUUUGCGCCAGCAGCUAAGAGAAGGGAUCCCAUUGAAGCUGCUUGACCUAGACAGAUGGUAUUAAUUGGAGAUCGAAUAUACUGCAUUGUAUCAUAGAUCGCAAGACCAGCAGUAACGGCGCCACCAGGAGAAUUGAGAUACAUGUGAAUAGGCUUAGAGGGGUUCUCAGAUUCAAGAAAAAGAAGCUGAGCAACAACAACAUGAGAAGUAGCAUCAUCAAUUGCUCCAUUAAUACAUAUAAUUCUCUCCUUUAACAACCUUGAAAAUAUAUCAUAAG